rnacentral:rRNA from 1 species
GAUGAACGCUGGCGGCGUGCCUAAUACAUGCAAGUCGAGCGAACAGACGAGGAGCUUGCUCCUCUGACGUUAGCGGCGGACGGGUGAGUAACACGUGGAUAACCUACCUAUAAGACUGGGAUAACUUCGGGAAACCGGAGCUAAUACCGGAUAACAUGUUGAACCGCAUGGUUCAACAGUGAAAGACGGUCUUGCUGUCACUUAUAGAUGGAUCCGCGCCGCAUUAGCUAGUUGGUAAGGUAACGGCUUACCAAGGCAACGAUGCGUAGCCGACCUGAGAGGGUGAUCGGCCACACUGGAACUGAGCCACGGUCCAGACUCCUACGGGAGGCAGCAGUAGGGAAUCUUCCGCAAUGGGCGAAAGCCUGACGGAGCAACGCCGCGUGAGUGAAGAAGGUCUUCGGAUCGUAAAACUCUGUUAUUAGGGAAGAACAAAUGUGUAAGUAACUAUGCACGUCCUGACGGUACCUAAUCAGAAAGCCACGGCUAACUACGU